UCCUCCUUGGUACAAAGUUGCUCCCUCCUCUGCUUUGUGAAUGAUACCCUGGGGAAUUGUUACUUUAUUUUAACUAAUUAUUUAGCCAGCUCUGAGACAUUUAGUGCCAACGCAGUGAGUUUAUUUGCCAACAGCAAUUCCAAGCAUGUUAUAUCUGUGGCCUUAAUAAAAUACCUAGCUUUGCAACUUUGCAAAACAGUCUCAGUGAAGUUCCUUGCUGGGGGCUCUGAGAAAGCCAAAUGUUGACUCUGAUUGGUGGGUACACACAUAAUGCUUUAGAUAGAAACCAUUGACCAAGUCUAGGUCAAGGAGUGGGUCCAGUCAUCCCUAGAUUUCUCUCUGAGAAGGAGUCCAGAAAACAAGAGGUUCCUUUCUGAACCUCAUGACUCACUGGGAGGGCUUUCCUCAGCCACCCUCCAGACUCAUACCCUUUUACACAACAGUCCCAGGUGGCUGAGGUUACCCAGAGAGGUUGUGAAGUCUCCACCUCUGACGAUAGUCAGACAGUCACUGGACACAGUCCUGGACAACCUGCUCUAGCUGACCGUGGUUUAGCAGGGCUCUGGACUAGAGGAACUUGAGAGCUGCCUCCCAACCUCAACUAUUCUAAGGAUUGUAGAAUAGCCCCAAAAAGGUAUUCUGAGCAACACAGCCAAUGAUCACAGCAAAGAAUAGAGAGGAAGGGGGAAAGGAGGAAGAUAACUGCCUAGAGGAGGAACAGUCCAUCUCUCUUGAAGACUACAUGCAGGAAAAACAAGAAGAAAGAAGGAAAUAAGCUACAUGAAUCACUGGUCUCCCUCUCCCUGAACUUCCAUGAAGACCAGGCUUAUGUAAAUGUACUAGUGGGUCUUGGUUUGCUUCCUUUUAGACCAUGUGCCUUGAGAGCACGAGUUGAGGUGUCAGGAAACCAUGCUCAGGGAUCAGAUAUACAUUAGGCUUUAACCAGUCAAAAGAAGUGUCUCUGAUACACUGGUUUGAUACCUUCAUUCUCUGGCUGCUUCUAAACCCUUUCUGCAGAUUUAUGUAUAACUUGCAAAAUAUAUCUAAUGGCUGUUAAAAAUCAAGGUGUGCAAAAUAAUCUAGUGUGUGAGCAGUUUACAAUAUGAAUUAUUUUUCUCCA